UACGGGGGGGGCAAGCGUUGUUCGGAAUUACUGGGCGUAAAGGGCUCGUAGGUGGCCAACUAAGUCGGACGUGAAAUCCCUCGGCUUAACCGGGGAACUGCGUCCGAUACUGGUUGGCUUGAGUUUGGGAGAGGGAUGCGGAAUUCCAGGUGUAGCGGUGAAAUGCGUAGAUAUCUGGAGGAACACCGGUGGCGAAGGCGGCGACCUGGGCCAAUACUGACGCUGAGGUGCGAAAGCUAGGGGAGCAAACGGG
rnacentral:rRNA from 1 species